UUUUUGUGAAAUUUUCUGGAAUUUUCUGAAAAUUUCCAAAACUUUCUGAAACAUACUCCAGCUUUCAAAAAAAUUUCUAACAUUUUCUGAAAUUGAACUUCCUGGAACUUUUUUAAAUGUUCUGGAAUUUUUUGAAACGUUCUAAAAAUA
ensembl:ncRNA Y17D7C.8 ncRNA